GACAGAGGGUGCAAACGUUGCUCGGAAUUACUGGGCGUAAAGCGCAUGUAGGCGGCUCUGUAAGUCGGAUGUGAAAGCCCUCGGCUUAACCGGGGAAGUGCAUUCGAUACUGCAGAGCUAGAGUAUCGGAGAGGGUCGUGGAAUUCCUGGUGUAGAGGUGAAAUUCGUAGAUAUCAGGAGGAACACCGGCGGCGAAGGCGGCGACCUGGACGAAUACUGACGCUCAGAUGCGAAAGCGUGGGGAUCAAACAGG
rnacentral:rRNA from 1 species